UACGUAGGUGGCUAGCGUUGUCCGGAUUUACUGGGCGUAAAGAGCGCGCAGGCGGUCGUUCAAGUCGAGUGUGAAAGCCCCCCGGCUCAACUGGGGAGGGUCACUCGAUACUGAUCGACUUGAAGGCGGGAGAGGGAAGCGGAAUUCCCGGUGUAGUGGUGAAAUUCGUAGAUAUCGAGAGGAACACCAGUGGCGAAGGCGGGUCUCUGGACAGUUCCUGACGCUGAGGCACGAAGGUCAGGGGAGCAAACGGG
rnacentral:rRNA from 1 species